AGAAAAUGGGUUAUCCCUUCCCAUUUUUCACGUGCUGGAGAAUCACUAGGGAAUGAAAUCCCUAAAAAAGGGGUCCCCCUUUUUAACUACAAGAGGAGAAGGGAAUUUGAAUCCCUAACCCUCAAUUCUUCUUCUCACCACCUCAUUUCAUCCUCAUGGUGUAGGUCCGCGCGCUGCCGGUGGUUCAACUCCGGCUUCUACCUCUACUGGUAUCUCCUCUCCCUUCUUCCCUUAUUUAUUGGCGAUGAUCUGCGAUUCGGAUCGCGACUCUUUAUAGAUGGAAGGGGUUAUUCACGAUCGGAUUUUCUCAUCCUCUCUACUCCUCUCAGUGUCUCUAACAGUAAAGGGGGUGGGGAUUCUCUAAGUCCCCUUUUUUGUUUCCAUUUGGUUCGAUGAGGGUAGACUCAUAUCCUUCUACAAUUUAUGUUCUUACCCGAUUGCCUUUGGUUGCUGUUAGAUCGUGACUUAAUGCAUUUCUUUUUGGUUACGUGAACCGAAAAAAGGCCCGAAGACGGUAGGAUGAGAUAGUGAGGUUCCAAGGAUUCAUAAGAUCCCCAAACGCCAGGAUUGCGGUAAUUGGUGAAGGAUGAGCCCAUUGGAGCCAUAAGUCGCGAGGCUAAAGUAACCAGUAAGGUAUCUUACCUUCUUUCCGUUUGCUUUUAUGUAUUUUUCAAUGCUUAAAUUAAGGGGUGACAUGCAUAUGACAAUAAGGUUGAAUGUUAAUCUAUUGAGAACAAACCGAGAAGAUUGCUUUGUGAUUAUCAUAUGCAUCCAACCGGCAUGGGUAUAUGUAAUCUUUAUGGAAUGGUUUGUAUGUAUUAGGAAUAGGUUUGGUUAAAACUUAACCUGGACAUAAGUCAUAUUUAUCUUGCUUUAUAGUUAUAACAACACCCCUUAUACUUUAUUCUGUUUCGUUUUCUUACUUUAAGUAAAUAUACCUUCUGCUGAAACCAACCCAAUAUGAAUAAUCGCAUAAAAUAGGAUAUGUUCACAACACAACAUUAUUACGAUUUGGAUGCUUACCUGAGUAUAUGCUUUUGGUUAUUGUAUGAUGUGUAUGUCCUUGUCCUUCUGGUUUGUGAUGCCUAUGAUGUAGAAAUAUCUCCUAAUUAUGACAUCUUUCCGGUUACUCGUGGUUGGUAUGCUCUCUGGUUGUUUAUAUGAUGCUUACGAUAGAUAGCUUAUGAAUAUAUUUGGUAUAUGAUAGUUUGUUCUCUUUGUAUCGAGAACAUAAAAUCUCAUUACUGAAUGGUCUAUCUUUAUAGGUUAAGGAAGAUGAAGACUAGCUUAUUAUGGACAUGAUGAAAGUGACUUUCCUAUGGAAUGAUUUUCUGGUUUAUUUGUGCAGCAACCUACUUGAUAAGGUAGUGCUUGAGGAGCAAGGGUGAGAAGAAAGGAUAUGAGGCUAAAUAAGAAGAAGAAGAAUGAUCAAUGAGUUUAUGUAUGUUUAGGAGUUGUGUUUAAGAACAACUAAAGGGAGAGCAGAGAAUCACUUUUGCUUUUUUACUUGUUCUCUUUUAUAUUGGUGCUUUUGAAUUGAGCAUUAAAAUUUUUGAUGGACAUAUGUUGAAUGUAAAGAGAUUGUUGGUGGUUGGAGGAUGAGGAUAGUGUAGAAAAAUAAACCCUCGUCACCUCAUUUUCCUCUGCUCUUUAUAGCUAUUAGUGAAGUAUAUAACGGAUACAAUAAUAUUAAAAGUGGCUCCGUAAUAGAAUAAAAUUGGGUGGUGAAGAGCUUACUCUUAUGUGUAAUAAUGUCUCUUGAAUUAGAUUGGAUUGUUUCAGUUUUUCAUGGAAAUAAAAAACAUGGAAUAAAGUAGAGGGUUACAGAAGAUUCAAUGAGGAAAAAUAAAGUAAAAAGUAGGAAAUCAUUGGUGGGUUAAAGAAACUAUGUAAGAAGAUGAAUUUAAUGCAUGGACAAUUACUUCUUAUAUGAGAUUUAAAUCUUAUUAUGAAAGCAAAC
rnacentral:lncRNA from 1 species